AAANUAGUCCUGGUUUAGUUCCACUGAGUAUUUUACUAGCAAGUUUAAAGUGUGUAUGGCAGGUUUUGAAAAUUACCUUAUUUUGAUGUAAUUUGGUGAAAUAAUAGCUGUUGUAAAUAUUUGACAGUUUUACACAAAUCAAUAAGCAAUUCAGUUAAAAUAUAAGUUAGAAAUUACAGGAAGUCGAGAGUUCUAAAACUUAUGAUGAUAUGACACGAGGGAGAAUUAACGUUUGGCACAUUUUACACACACGAAACAUGUUUUUCUUUUAUUUGUAAACAUGAUUAAGACAAAAUAAAGAAAUAAAGAAAUAAAAAAACUUGCUAGGUAACAGUGGUGGAAUUAUUGGCAAAAUAUUUAGCAAAAUCUUAAAUACAAUGAUCUUAUCAGAGUUUUAAUAAAAUGAGUGGUCCAACUUAUGAUUGUACACUGCAUAAAUCUCUUUCUUUAAACAGUAAACAACAAAGAAUGCAAAGAAGCUCUGACAACAACAACCCCAAAGACAACAGCAAAACUACUAGUACUACAACGACUACUACGGCUUCUACUACAACUACUAAAAGUACUACUACCACCCAAGUUCCAUGUACAUACCAGUGUGACAGUGGCUGGGAGCUGAAUGGACCAAAGUGUUAUUAUUUCUCCACAAAUAAAUUAACAUGGACCCCAGAGCGAGGAGAAAUGUGUAACUCUGGGUGGACACCUGGUGAAGAUAAACAGCAGAGAAGAGCAGAGUUUUCUGUAUAAAAGACUGGGAAAUUUAAUGACAGAGAAUGAAGACAGGUUCUGGAUCGGACUGACAGACUCUGAGUCAGAGGGUCUGUGGAAAUGGACCGACGGCUCUUUACUGGACACAGAUUUAACAUUUUGGUUUAAAAAUGGAGCCCAAACUGAACCGGACAACUGGACAUAUAACAAUAAAUAUCCAGAAGGAGAAGACUGUGUGAGGAUGGGAGAGAAAGCAGCUGGCUAUGAGUACAAAUGCUGGUUUGAUAAAC